AUUGGUCAUAGCUGAUAUCGAUACGAUACAGAUCGGUAUCAGUAAGGAUCUGUCAAGGAUCGAAAAUCGUAUAGUUUUUCUGGAUCGGUCAUGGUAUCGGAUUGGAUCGGUCACAUUUUUUUUUAAUCUAAAAAACUCAGAAAAAAAAAUACCCAUACUCGGGAUCUGGGACCUCAUCGAUAAUACAAGGCCCCAUCUGUCCAGCCGGAGCUCUGAUUAGAAAAUAGAGGGGCGGCGAAGAAACUCCUCACUCAUUGCUUCAAUCUCGGCAUCUUUGCUCGUCGCUCUUCCCUCUUCCCUCCCUGCCAUUGAUGUCAUUGAACUCGUUGUGCGAGAACUGAAAACAUAUCCGACAUUCAAUUUUGGGACUUGGAUCGGUGUUAACAGAGAAAGGGACUGUAGAGAUGGAGGCGAGCAUUAUGGAUAGGAGCAAGAGGAGAUGUGGAAUUGGCACUACCGAAGGAGAGGUAUUUUUAGAUAGAGUUCGCUGUUAUCACUCAGAGAUUUCUCUCGAUUUUGGAAUCUGCAUUACCGGAGGAGAGAGGAGCUUCUCUCCUCUCUUCCGAGCAAUUCAUUGUCAUCGAUCACCAUAAUUUGUUCUAUAGAUCGAGAGAUUUGAGACCAUAUAAAAGAGAAAAAGCAGAAAUUGCCCAGAAAAAGGAAUAGUCGAAUUCAGGGUUUCCUUGCCGAUAUGGAGCAAGAGAGCUAGUCAGAGAAAGAAUUGCAUAUCUUUAUUCAUCCAAUUGAACUCUUUAUUCAUCCAA